rnacentral:rRNA from 1 species
AUUGAACGCUGGCGGCGUGCUUAACACAUGCAAGUCGAACGAAGUGGCGAACGGGUGAGUAACGCGUAAUCAACCUGCCCUUCAGAGGGGGACAACAGUUGGAAACGACUGCUAAUACCCCAUACUGAAGGAGUGGAUUGCGUCUGAUUAGCUAGUUGGAGGGGUAACGGCCCACAAAGGCGAUGAUCAGUAGGCGGGCUGGGAGGAUGAACGGGCACAUUGGGACUGAGACACGGCCCAGAAUCAUACGGGAGGGAGCAGUGGGGAAUCUUCCGAAAUGGACGAAAGUCUGACGGAGCAACGGCGCGGGAGUGAGGACGGCCUUCGGGGUGGAAAGCUCUGUUAAUCGGGACGCGGUACCGGAAGAGAAAGCAACGGCUAACUACGUGCCAGCCGCCGCGGUAAUAC